CGUCCUUGGCUGGCGCAGUGGAUAGCGCGUUGGACUUCUAAUUCCAAAGAUCGUUGGUUCGGAUACCACCAGGGAUGA